GCAAGUUUCCUCACCUCCCCAAGUCUCGAUUUCCUCACCUGCACAAUGACGAUGGUGGGGAAACUGAGGCUGGGAGAGAGGGGUGCCCCACACUGGGGUUAGCCAGCAGUGUGGAUCUGAUCGUGCAGAACCUGCGCUCAGCUCCAGCCCCAUACCAGCACUGAGCACCUCCCCAGGGCCAGGCACCCACUGGGAGCCAGGGAUCCACAGGCACUUACACAACCCGUGAAGCAGGCGCUAUUUGGAAGCCCAGUUUACAGAGGAGAGGACCAGGCAGGAACCGGUUAAGCUACUCAGUCGGGACUGGGAUUUGAACCCACAAGCUGAUUUGACAGCCCC